rnacentral:lncRNA from 1 species
GCUACUCAGGAGCCGCUAAAUAAAUCAAACGCAGCUGGGAGAGGUGAGAAUGAAUGGAGAGGUGGAAGGGUUUAGUGAAGAAGGUUCUAGAGACAAGUUGCAACACUGCUCUGGUUAUUCAGGAGGCAGUUUGUAUCUCAACAAGCAAUACCAUCAUCACAAGCAUUUUAAAUCAAUCCAUUAUUGGAAGGAAUAUAAAUGGAGAAAUGUGAAUAUUAAUCUGUUUUAGUGUGACAAGAUAUGUAGGAAAAGGAAUAGAGGACAAAGAGAGAACAGAGAUAAAAUUGAUUUGGGAGAGUGAAAUGAAAUCUCUCAAUGUUUACCUACAUUUGAAAACAACGGUAUCGGUACUACAGAUUGCUUCUCCCGCCUCAGGUUUAGGCAUCCN